rnacentral:rRNA from 1 species
UACGGAGGGUGCAAGCGUUGUUCGGAUUUAUUGGGCGUAAAGGGCGCGUAGGCGGCUCGUUAAGUCUGAUGUGAAAGCCCCCGGCUCAACUGGGGAGGGUCACGCGAUACUGAUCGACUCGAAGGCAGGAGAGGGUAGUGGAAUUCCCGGUGUAGUGGUGAAAUGCGUAGAUAUCGGGAGGAACACCAGUGGCGAAGGCGACUACCUGGCCUGUUCUUGACGCUGAGGCGCGAAAGCUAGGGGAGCAAACGGG